rnacentral:rRNA from 1 species
GAUGAACGCUGGCGGCGUGCCUAAUACAUGCCAGUCGAGCGAACAGACGAGGAGCUUGCUCCUCUGACGUUAGCGGCGGACGGGUGAGUAACACGUGGAUAACCUACCUAUAAGACUGGGAUAACUUCGGGAAACCGGAGCUAAUACCGGAUAAUAUAUUGAACCGCAUGGUUCAAUAGUGAAAGACGGUUUUGCUGUCACUUAUAGAUGGAUCCGCGCCGCAUUAGCUAGUUGGUAAGGUAACGGCUUACCAAGGCAACGAUGCGUAGCCGACCUGAGAGAGUGGUCGGCCACACUGGAACUGAGACAGGGUCCAGACACCUACGGGAGGCAGCAGUAGGGAAUCUUCGGCAAUGGGCGAAAGCCUGACGGAGCAACGCCGCGUGAGUGAUGAAGGUCUUCGGAGCGUAAAACUCUGUUAUUAGGGAAGAACAAAUGUGUAAGUAACUAUGCACGUCUUGACGGUACCUAAUCAGAAAGCCACGGCUAACUACGUG